rnacentral:rRNA from 1 species
UACGUAGGGGGCAAGCGUUGUCCGGAUUUAUUGGGCGUAAAGAGCUCGUAGGCGGCUUGUCACGUCGUUCGUGAAAACUUGGGGCUCGAACUCCAAGCUUGCAGUCGAUACGGGCAGGCUAGAGUUCGGUAGGGGAGACUGGAAUUCCUGGUGUAGCGGUGAAAUGCGCAGAUAUCAGGAGGAACACCGGUGGCGAAGGCGGUUGUC